AUUGAACGCUGGCGGCAGGCCUAACACAUGCAAGUCGAGCGGAUGAAGGGAGCUUGCUCCUGGAUUCAGCGGCGGACGGGUGAGUAAUGCCUAGGAAUCUGCCUGGUAGUGGGGGAUAACGUCCGGAAACGGGCGCUAAUACCGCAUACGUCCUGAGGGAGAAAGUGGGGAUCUUCGGACCUCACGCUAUCAGAUGAGCCUAGGUCGGAUUAGCUAGUUGGUGGGGUAAAGGCCUACCAAGGCGACGAUCCGUAACUGGUCUGAGAGGAUGAUCAGUCACACUGGAACUGAGACACGGUCCAGACUCCUACGGGAGGCAGCAGUGGGGAAUAUUGGACAAUGGGCGAAAGCCUGAUCCAGCCAUGCCGCGUGUGUGAAGAAGGUCUUCGGAUUGUAAAGCACUUUAAGUUGGGAGGAAGGGCAGUAAGUUAAUACCUUGCUGUUUUGACGUUACCAACAGAAUAAGCACCGGCUAACCUCGUG
rnacentral:rRNA from 1 species